GAAAAGUUUUAUUCUUGCUUAUUUAUUUACUGUAAAAUUAUUGUAUAUGUAAAUUUUUGUGUGUAUAGUUUAAUUUAUUCUGAAUGAGGUUUUAAAACAGUAUUUAAGUCGCAGUAUAAAGUAUUAUAAAUUUAUGGAAUUUUGAUUUAGUAAUUUUUAUUAAAAUGUUGAUGAAGUAUGUGCCAGCAAUCGCGGUUAUACAUAAAAUAUGAGUUAAUAUAUUUCAGUUAAAAUAGUUAAUUUAAUUAUUAUUGUUUUGAAUAUAAUUUGAUUAUUAUUUGGUGAAAUAAUUAAUAAUUAUUUUUUAUUUUUAUUAUAUAUAUGAAGCUGUGAAAUCCAAUUUAUUUAAACUAGGAUUAGAUACCCUAUUAUUUUGGAUGUUAAUUAAAAUAAACUUAAGUAGUAUUAGAUAUGGUCUUGAAACUUAAAGAAUUUGGCGGUAUUUUAGUCUAUUUAGAGGAAUCUGUCCCAUAAUCGAUAUUCCACGUUGGACCUUACUUAAUUUAUUAAUAUGUAUACCGCCGUUGUUGAAGAUCUUUUUAGAGUAUAAUUUUUUUAAUAUUUAUUAGAUAAUUUUUCAGGUCAAGGUGCAGUUUAUAAUCAAGUGGUGAUGGAUUACAAUACUUAUAAGUAUACGGAUUAUUAAUUUUAAUUAUUAAUAUAAAGGUGGAUUUAAUAGUAAUUUUAUGAAGAUUGUUAUUUUGAUUUUAGCUCUAAAAUAUGCACACAUCGCCCGUCGCUCUCGUUAUAAUUAUUAAGACGAGAUAAGUCGUAACAUAGUAGUUGUACCGGAAGGUGUAGCUAGAAAGUU
rnacentral:ncRNA from 1 species